rnacentral:tRNA from 1 species
GGUCGCGUAGCUCAAUUGGUAGAGCAGGCGUGUUUUUAUUCUAGCGUUCAGCGAGGAUGCAGGUUCGAGUCCUGCCGUGACCA